rnacentral:rRNA from 1 species
AACGAACGCUGGCGGCAUGCCUAACACAUGCAAGUCGAACGAGACCUUCGGGUCUAGUGGCGCACGGGUGCGUAACGCGUGGGAACCUGCCCUUAGGUUCGGAAUAACUCCCCGAAAGGGGUGCUAACACCGGAUAAUGUCUUCGGACCAAAGAUUUAUCGCCUUUGGAUGGGCCCGCGUUGGAUUAGCUAGUUGGUAGGGUAAAAGCCUACCAAGGCGACGAUCCAUAGCUGGUCUGAGAGGAUGAUCAGCCACACUGGGACUGAGACACGGCCCAGACUCCUACGGGAGGCAGCAGUGGGGAAUAUUGGACAAUUGGCGAAAGCCUGAUCCAGCAAUGCCGCGUGAGUGAUGAAGGCCUUAGGGUUGUAAAGCUCUUUUACCCGGGAUGAUAAUGACAGUACCGGGAGAAUAAGCUCCGGCUAACUCCGUG